UCCAUCGUGAGGUGGAAUCUGAAGGAAGCCGGAUGUGGGAACAGACUAACCACGGGCAAAUCUUUGGUCUGACGAAUAGAAAUCUCAUAUAAGGUUAUGCAUGAGAGUAAGGCUGCCAACCAAGUCAAAGCUCAAUAACUAUACGGAAUCAUGCGUGAUAAAUGAGGCAGAUGGAUGGAGAGGAAGAAACGUGU
rfam:Roseburia inulinivorans DSM 16841 R_inulinivorans-1.0.1_Cont50.1, whole genome shotgun sequence.